UGCAGUCGAGCGGACAGAAGGGAGCUUGCUCCCGGAUGUUAGCGGCGGACGGGUGAGUAACACGUGGGUAACCUGCCUGUAAGACUGGGAUAACUCCGGGAAACCGGAGCUAAUACCGGAUAGUUCCUUGAACCGCAUGGUUCAAGGAUGAAAGACGGUUUCGGCUGUCACUUACAGAUGGACCCGCGGCGCAUUAGCUAGUUGGUGGGGUAAUGGCUCACCAAGGCGACGAUGCGUAGCCGACCUGAGAGGGUGAUCGGCCACACUGGGACUGAGACACGGCCCAGACUCCUACGGGAGGCAGCAGUAGGGAAUCUUCCGCAAUGGACGAAAGUCUGACGGAGCAACGCCGCGUGAGUGAUGAAGGUUUUCGGAUCGUAAAGCUCUGUUGUUAGGGAAGAACAAGUGCGAGAGUAACUGCUCGCACCUUGACGGUACCUAACCAGAAAGCCACGGCUAACUACGUGCCAGCAGCCGCGGUAAUACGUAGGUGGCAAGCGUUGUCCGGAAUUAUUGGGCGUAAAGGGCUCGCAGGCGGUUUCUUAAGUCUGAUGUGAAAGCCCCCGGCUCAACCGGGGAGGGUCAUUGGAAACUGGGAAACUUGAGUGCAGAAGAGGAGAGUGGAAUUCCACGUGUAGCGGUGAAAUGCGUAGAGAUGUGGAGGAACACCAGUGGCGAAGGCGACUCUCUGGUCUGUAACUGACGCUGAGGAGCGAAAGCGUGGGGAGCGAACAGGAUUAGAUACCCUGGUAGUCCACGCCGUAAACGAUGAGUGCUAAGUGUUAGGGGGUUUCCGCCCCUUAGUGCUGCAGCUAACGCAUUAAGCACUCCGCCUGGGGAGUACGGUCGCAAGACUGAAACUCAAAGGAAUUGACGGGGGCCCGCACAAGCGGUGGAGCAUGUGGUUUAAUUCGAAGCAACGCGAAGAACCUUACCAGGUCUUGACAUCCUCUGACAACCCUAGAGAUAGGGCUUUCCCUUCGGGGACAGAGUGACAGGUGGUGCAUGGUUGUCGUCAGCUCGUGUCGUGAGAUGUUGGGUUAAGUCCCGCAACGAGCGCAACCCUUGAUCUUAGUUGCCAGCAUUCAGUUGGGCACUCUAAG
rnacentral:rRNA from 1 species